rnacentral:rRNA from 1 species
UACGUAGGGUGCGAGCGUUAAUCGGAAUUACUGGGCGUAAAGCGUGCGCAGGCGGUUUUGUAAGCCAGAUGUGAAAUCCCCGGGCUUAACCUGGGAAUGGCAUUUGGGACUGCAAGGCUCGAGUGCGGCAGAGGAGACUGGAAUUCCUGGUGUAGCGGUGGAAUGCGCAGAUAUCAGGAGGAACACCAGUGGCGAAGGCGGCUUCCUGGACCGACACUGACGCUGAGGCGCGAAAGCUAGGGGAGCAAACGGG